rnacentral:tRNA from 1 species
GGAUAUAGCUCAACUGGUAGAGCGCAUACUUAGCACGUGUGAGGUUCUGGGUUCAAUCCUGGUACCUCCU